rnacentral:rRNA from 1 species
CCUACGGGGUGCAGCAGUGGGGGAUAUUGCACAAUGGGGGAAACCCUGAUGCAGCGACGCCGCGUGUGGGAAGACGGUCCUCUGGAUUGUAAACCACUGUCCCCAGGGACGAAGAUGACGGUACCUGGGGAGGAAGCUCCGGCUAACUACGUGCCAGCAGCCGCGGUAAUACGUAGGGAGCAAGCGUUGUCCGGAUUUACUGGGUGUAAAGGGAGCGUAGGCGGGAUGGCAAGUUGGGUGUUAAAUCUACGGGCUCAACUGGUCGUCGCACUCAAAACUGCUAUUCUUGAGUGAAGUAGAGGCAGGCGGAAUUCCUAGUGUAGCGGUGAAAUGCGUAGAUAUUAGGAGGAACACCAGUGGCGAAGGCGGCCUGCUGGGCUUUUACUGACGCUGAGGCUCGAAAGUGUGGGGAGCAAACAGGAUUAGAUACCCUGGUAGUC